GUUUAAAUAGCUCAGUAGGUAGAGCAAAGGACUGAAAAUCCUUGUGUCGUCAGUUCGAAUCUGUCUUUAAACA
rnacentral:tRNA from 1 species